GAUGAACGCUGGCGGCGUGCCUAAUACAUGCAAGUCGAGCGAACGGACGAGAAGCUUGCUUCUCUGAUGUUAGCGGCGGACGGGUGAGUAACACGUGGAUAACCUACCUAUAAGACUGGGAUAACUUCGGGAAACCGGAGCUAAUACCGGAUAAUAUUUUGAACCGCAUGGUUCAAAAGUGAAAGACGGUCUUGCUGUCACUUAUAGAUGGAUCCGCGCCGCAUUAGCUAGUUGGUAAGGUAACGGCUUACCAAGGCAACGAUGCAUAGCCGACCUGAGAGGGUGAUCGGCCACACUGGAACUGAGACACGGUCCAGACUCCUACGGGAGGCAGCAGUAGGGAAUCUUCCGCAAUGGGCGAAAGCCUGACGGAGCAACGCCGCGUGAGUGAUGAAGGUCUUCGGAUCGUAAAACUCUGUUAUUAGGGAAGAACAUAUGUGUAAGUAACUGUGCACGUCUUGACGGUACCUAAUCAGAAAGCCACGGCUAACUACGUG
rnacentral:rRNA from 1 species